rnacentral:rRNA from 1 species
AUACGAAGGGUGCAAGCGUUAAUCGGAAUUACUGGGCGUAAAGCGCGCGUAGGUGGUUUUGUAAGUUGGAGGUGAAAGCCCCGGGCUCAACCUGGGAAUUGCCUCCAAAACUGCAUGACUAGAGUACGGUAGAGGGUAGUGGAAUUUCCUGUGUAGCGGUGAAAUGCGUAGAUAUAGGAAGGAACACCAGUGGCGAAGGCGACUACCUGGACGGAUACUGGCACUGAGGUGCGAAAGCGGGGGGAGCAAACAGGAUUAGAUACCCGGGUAGUCCACGCCGUAAACGAUGUCAACUAGCCGUUGGGAUCCUUGAGAUCUUAGUGGCGCAGCUAACGCAUUAAGUUGACCGCCUGGGGAGUACGGCCGCAAGGUUAAAACUCAAAUGAAUUGACGGGG